CAAUAGCGUAUAUUAACGUUGUUGCAGUUAAAAAGCUCGUAGUUGGAUAUCUGGAGGGAGCGCCGGCCCGUAUUUACGAGUGCGUGACGUCUCUGUCCAUCCUUGCGGGAAGGCACGGCAUUGAUUUGUUGUGUCGGAUCGCAUCAUUUACUGUGAAAAAAUUAGAGUGUUCAAAGCAGGCUUUCGCUUGAAUACAUUAGCAUGGAAUAAUAAGAUAGGACUUUGGUGCUAUUUUGUUGGUUGAGCCUAAAGUAAUGAUUAAUAGGGAUAGUUGGGGGCACCUGUAUUGCGUUGUCAGAGGUGAAAUUCUUGGAUUUACGCAAGACAAACAGCUGCGAANGNGUCUGCNAAGGAUGUUUNCAUUA
rnacentral:rRNA from 1 species